rnacentral:lncRNA from 1 species
ACGCCCACUCGCUGUCCUAAGGGACCUUAAUGAGCUCCCACUCCUUGCAGCGAAGCUCUCCUGGUUUCCCUGCUUCCUUUCUGAAUCCUCCCAGCCCCUGGCAACCACAUUCUCCUUUCUGUCUAUGCGAAUUGGACUACUCCGGGGGCCACCGAUGACUGGAGUCAUGCUGUGUUGUCUCUUUGUGACUGGAAUCCUGUCUCUUUAACAUCCUUGGAUCUGUCCCUCCUCUCCCUUCUCACGGCACUGCCUCUUAUGAUCUCAGAAGCUCUAAAGAAGCAGCGCUGCCCCUGCCUAGCGGAGGAGACUGGGACUCCCCACAUCUCUCUGUGUUCCCAGAUUGAGCCGGGCAAGAUCACAUCUGACAUCUGCACAUCUCAGCGCCCAGCCCCUGCCUGGCUCAGAGUGAAGUGUCUUCCAAUCCAUUGAAAUUUCUAGUCCCGGGGUCUCGAGGACACUAGGGCCACUGUGCAAUGGCAGAAGGAGCAUUGCCAUAGAAGUCAGGGGGCCUGGUUACAAGUCCUGACUUUAGUUGAGGACCUGCCAUAUGACCUUGAGCAAACUGCUGUACUUCUCUGGAUCUCAGUUUCUACAACCUAAUUCACUGGGCCCAGCCUGCAGCCUGCAAGCACCGGAUGAGUGGACGUGGCUGAGCAGCCAUGAGAAAGAUGUGGGGCUCUC